UGAGUAAUACAUCGGAACGUGCCCUGUAGUGGGGGAUAACUAGUCGAAAGAUUAGCUAAUACCGCAUACGACCUGAGGGUGAAAGUGGGGGACCGCAAGGCCUCAUGCUAUAGGAGCGGCCGAUGUCUGAUUAGCUAGUUGGUGGGGUAAAGGCCCACCAAGGCGACGAUCAGUAGCUGGUCUGAGAGGACGAUCAGCCACACUGGGACUGAGACACGGCCCAGACUCCUACGGGAGGCAGCAGUGGGGAAUUUUGGACAAUGGGGGCAACCCUGAUCCAGCAAUGCCGCGUGUGUGAAGAAGGCCUUCGGGUUGUAAAGCACUUUUGUCCGGAAAGAAAUCGCACUUACUAAUAUUAGGUGUGGAUGACGGUACCGGAAGAAUAAGGACCGGCUAACUACGUGCCAGCAGCCGCGGUAAUACGUAGGGUCCAAGCGUUAAUCGGAAUUACUGGGCGUAAAGCGUGCGCAGGCGGUUGUGCAAGACCGAUGUGAAAUCCCCGGGCUUAACCUGGGAAUUGCAUUGGUGACUGCACGGCUAGAGUGUGUCAGAGGGGGGUAGAAUUCCACGUGUAGCAGUGAAAUGCGUAGAGAUGUGGAGGAAUACCGAUGGCGAAG
rnacentral:rRNA from 1 species